UAAUAUCGGAUAACGCAUAUGUGCAGGGAAUGCUUUAUGCGUAAAACGGAUUCGUCCGCCCAAGGAUGGGUCUGCGGCCUAUCAGGUAGUAGUGGGUGUAACGGACCCACUAGCCAGUGACGGGUAUGGGCCUUGAGAGAGGGAGCCCAGAGAUGGAUUCUGAGACACGAAUCCAGGCCCUACGGGGCGCAGCAGUCGCGAAAACUUUACAAUGCGGGAAACCGUGAUAAGGGAACACCGAGUGCCAGCAUCAUAUGCUGGCUGUCCAGAUGUGUAAACUACAUCUGUUAGCAAGGGCCGGGCAAGACCGGUGCCAGCCGCCGCGGUAACACCGGCGGCCCGAGUGGUGACCGUUAUUAUUGGGUCUAAAGGGUCCGUAGCCGGUUUGGUCAGUCCUCCGGGAAAUCUGAUAGCUUAACUGUUAGGCUUUCGGGGGAUACUGCCAGGCUUGGAACCGGGAGAGGUAAGAGGUACUACAGGGGUAGGAGUGAAAUCUUGUAAUCCCUGUGAGACCACCUGUGGCGAAGGCGUCUUACCAGAACGGGUUCGACGGUGAGGGACGAAAGCUGGGGGCACGAACCGGAUUAGAUACCCCGGUAGUCCAGGGUGUAACGCUGCAGACUUGGUGU
rnacentral:rRNA from 1 species